ensembl:lncRNA
AGAGAGAAAGAGAGAGAGAGAGAGAGGCGAAGAGAGAGAGAGAGAGAGAGAGGGGCGAAGAGAGAAAGAGAGAGAGAGAGGGGCGAAGAGAGAGAGAGAGAGGGAGGCGAAGAGAGAAAAGAGAGAGAGAGAGGGGCGAAGAGAGAAAGAGAGAGAGGGGUGAAGAGAGAAAGAGAGAGAAAGCAAGAGAGGAAAUGAUAAUAAAUUGCAAAAUAGAGAGCGUGAAUAUGGAAGUAUGGAAAUGUCAAAUGUGCCUUUUCUCCAGCCCUGGUCUGUUCCAGCGGCUCAGUGGAAUACUUCUGAGGAAGCAAUAGAAUACAUCGCUAGUCAGGUCAAUCUACCCUUACAGACUGCCUCAUUCCCACCUCCCACUUGUCUUAUUCGCUUCACUCCUCUCCUAUUGCCGUUUCAUUGACACCCAUUGUUUCAACAUCUGCCAAGGUAUAUUCAAAGACAUGGGAGGCAUCACAUUACAGGCACACACCCACAAACCCACACACACACACACACACACACACACAUUCUCACCCACACACAGUUGAGAAAAAAUAUGACAACGGUAGUUGAAACAUGAAUUACGACAGUAUUGAUUACUUAUGAACGGUAAUAGAAUGAAAUGAAAUGAAACAGAGAUUGUUGUUUUAGCUGGGCCUCGGGAAAGACAGACAGUCAUACUGUGAGGCUGUAUGUGAUGCUGUUUAGGAACGUUGUAGUGAACAGUAGGUGGUUUCCCGGUAACCACCUUAAUGAAAAAUGUGAAGCAGCAGUCAGUCGGACGGGUCAGGACAGACUGGUUACAGGCUUUAGUUACAGUGACUCAGCCAAGUCAAUGGCCAAACAGUCAGGCAGAAACACCAUGGCACACACACACACCCUAACCCUCCCACUCUACCUCUAACCCAUCCACCACCCCCUCACUAGCGCCGCGCAGACACAACACAGAUACAUGUUUCAUGAGCUACAUUAAUUAAUAACCCAACCCUGACCUCGUUUAUACUGAUGAAUCGCCCAGAUGAAAGGAGUUCAAAUCAAGUCAAAACAAAUGUAUUUAUAAAGCCCUUUUUACAUCAGCAGAUGUCAAAAAGUGCACAAACAGAAACCCAGCCUGAAACCCCACAGUGAAAUGAGAUCUAAAGGUUAACCUCUGGUUGAGGAGGAGAACUACAAGAGAAAGGAGAAGAAAAAACAAGGGU